rnacentral:rRNA from 1 species
ACCCGCUGAACUUAAGCAUAUCAGUAAGCGGAGGAAAAGAAACUAACUAGGAUUCCCCGAGUAGCGGCGAGCGAAAGGGGAGAAGCCCAGCGCCGAAGCCCGCGUGUCUCUUGACCGCAGUGCAAUGUGGCGUAUCGGCGGCGACUCGCCGCGUCUGCUCUGGCACGAGUACCUCUGAAUGGGUCUGCCCGUAGCGGGUGUCAGGCCUCUACUUGCCGGGUGAGCGGGCGCGUCCUGUCGUCGUCGCGGAGUCGGGUUGCUUGAGAGUGCAGCCCAAAGUGGGUGGUAAGCUCCAUCUAAGGCUAAAUACCUAGUGCGAGACCGAUAGCAAACAAGUACCGUGAGGGAAAGUUGCAAAGAACUUUGAAAAGAGAGUUCAAGAGUACGUGAAACCGUUCAGAGGCAAACGGACGGAACUGGGCGAUUCCGUCUCGGCUAUUCAGCCGUCUAGGGCCGUUGCCUGCGGGCGCGGUUCCGACGCGGUGCACUUGGCUGGGGCGGAGCGCGACGACCGCCUGUCGGGUCGUCAGAAGCCCGGCGGCAAGGUGGCGACGCGCUCGCGCGUCGUGUUAUAGGCCGUCGAGGCGUUGGCAGACCUGGCGGGCGAGGAGCGCCUGCGGUGCACUCCCCCUCCGGGCGGGAGUGGCCCGACGUGGUGGGCUGGCGGUCGCCGGCGACGAACUGCUCGCAGUUUGUUGUCGCGCGUGCUGUCUGUCGUGCCGCGCGGUGCCACGGUGCACCCAGGGUCCGGGUCGCGUGGUUCCCGGCACUCCGUCCGACCCGUCUUGAAACACGGACCAAGGAGUUGAGCACGCGCGCGAGUCGAUGGGCUCGCAGAACCCCAGUGGCGCAGCUAAGGCAAAACGGGCGUGAUCCGGCACUGGCGUGUCGGCGCAACGCCGGCCCGCAGGCGACUCGGUGCAAGUGCCUGCGGUGCAAGAGCGUGUGUGCUCAGACCCGAAAGGUGGUGAACUAUGCCUGAGCAGGGCGAAGCCAGAGGAAACUCUGGUGGAGGCUCGCAGCGAUCCUGACGUGCAAAUCGGUCGUCAAACUUGGGCAUAGGGGCGAAAGACUAAUCGAACCGCCUAGUAGCUGGUUCCCUCCGAAGUUUCCCUCAGGAUAGCUGGCACUCGGGAUAAAUGGUUUUAUCCGGUAAAGCGAAUGAUUAGAGGCAUUGGGGACGAAACGUCCUCAACCUAUUCUCAAACUUUAAAUGGGUAAGAGGCGCGACCCUUCCUAAUCGGGGUCGCGUGCUCGAACAGAGAGUGCCCAGUGGGCCGUUUUUGGUAAGCAGAACUGGCGCUGUGGGAUGAACCAAACGUGCGGUUAGGGUGCCUAACGCACGCUCAUGAGACACCACAAAAGGUGUUGGUUGAUAUAGACAGCAGGACGGUGGCCAUGGAAGUCGGAAUCCGCUAAGGAGUGUGUAACAACUCACCUGCCGAAUCAACUAGCCCUGAAAAUGGAUGGCGCUGGAGCGUGCGACCCAUACCGCACCGUCGGGGCAAUGCGUGCGAAAUGCCAGGCCCCGACGAGUAGGAGGGCGUGUCGGUGGCGUUGAAGCGUAGUGCGUGAGCACGCGUGGAGCCGCCUUCAGUGCAGAUCUUGGUGGUAGUAGCAAGUAUACAAAUGAGAACUUUGUAGACCGAAGUGGAGAAGGGUUCCAUGUGAACAGCAGUUGGACAUGGGUCAGUCGGCCCUAAGAGAUCGGCGAACGCCGUUCUGAACGGGGAGAGGUGCUGAAUGCGCGCGAGUCAUGCGUGCCGGGCGCCAGCUGGUUAGCCGAGGGAGAUGUUGGGGCGCUGCGGGAUCGGCGGGUGCCGUCCUGCGCGCGACAUGCGGAGCACGGGCCGGCCGGCCGUGCCGUCUGAUCGACUCGCGCGCGCUCGCAAGAGCGCGCCGGGCGAGAGAGCGGUGCGGCGUCGUGAGUCGGGUCGAGAGCGUGCGUCGGGGCGAGCAGGCGUCCCCGUUGGCGUUCCCAUGUACAUCCCUCGAGCGUGCACCGGACGCGUGGCAUUGGCUGCGCACCCUCUGAACCCCGAUGCGAUCGAAAGGGAAUCGGGUUAAUAUUCCCGAACCUGGCAGUGGAGAUCGGGCCCUCGGGCCCCAGUGCGGUAACGCAACCGAACUCGGAGACGCCAGCGUCGAUCCCGGGAAGAGUUCUCUUUUCUUUGUUAGGAGCGGACUCCCUGGAAUUGGCUUGUCCAGAGAUAGGGACGUUGCAUCCGUAAAGCGUCGCGCCUCACGCGGCGUCCGGUGCAUCGGCGUUGGCCCUUGAAAAUCCGAGGGAGGCAGUGUAAUUUUCACUCCAGGCCGUACCCGAAUCCGCAGCAGGUCUCCAAGGUGAACAGCCUCUGGUCGAUAGAACAAUGUAGGUAAGGGAAGUCGGCAAAUCCGAUCCGUAACUUCGGGAUAAGGAUUGGCUCUGAGGUGCGGGCUGCUUCGGGUCGCGGCAAGAAGCGGAUCGUGCGUUGGUUGGACUGGGCGCGCUCUUGCGGGC